CGUUUCUCGAGAAGACCAGGAAAAAGGAAACGAGCCUUUUCCGUUUUUUUUUUGCAAUCUCGUGUGCUGGCAGCUCUCAAGCGCUCUCGCGACAGACGAGGAGCGGUCCUGGUACGACACACUAAUCGCAGCAGGUGAGUUGAGUCCGUUCUUUUGCAAACUUCGGCGGUUUCUCAUCGUUCGGGCGGACGAAACGUUUCGAUUACUGGGAACCUCGCGGUUUCUGAAACGCGUUUCCACUUUUUCCGUGCGCGUUUCGGCAUCAUGGCCACACUGCGUCAAAACUGGGGACAGGCACGGAUUGCCUCGCUGGCUUCUCGGCAGAGAUUCCCGGUGAAAAGUUGACCUUUUUCGUUCUUCGGCGUUCUCUUUGUGGGGCAACACUCUAGCUUUUCCCUGAAGCGCAUGCGAGUCGCUUUUUUUCCAGUGAGCGAGAGUUCUAUACGCAGAGACCGGAGAAAACGUGGUCUGAGGGGCGACCUUGCACGCCGGUUUCGCGUUCGACGUCUCUUCCGGCCAGGUGGCCUCUCUCUGGCUUCAUCUGCUUCCAGCCCGAGCCGCAUUCGCCUGCUCCUUCGCCGGAAAGCCGCGGGUUUCUUGCCCAUGAUCGGGCAACUCGCAGGCUCCGCUUGGAGUCGGCGUUUUCGCAAACGAGUUGGACGGUCCAGUCCGCGAGAGAGAGGCUACUUCGUGAUCGUGUUUCCCCACCUUUCCUCACGAUUCUCGUGUGCGGUUUCCUUCUUGCUUCCUUCCCUGUCGCUCUUCGGGUGUAUCCGUUCACCAACGUUUCUCCGCCGUUCGCUGUAGCCCUCGUUUUCGACUCCAUCGCGCUGGACCCGCGCACUCCGUUUUCUCUCCUCGCUAGUCGUGUCUUGUUUCGGCGUAUUGCUCUCUCCCGUCCUGGACGCUCGGCCGCUCUCGGCCGUUUUUUCCCCUUUGGGGACUCUCCAAGCCUGUUUCUCGAGGCGCGAAUCCCGGAUUCCUUCCGUAGAAAAACACAGUCACGUGAAGGGUACAUACGGUGACCCCUCCCGAGCGGGGAACCCGCAUCUCCAUCGCGUGUGUGCUUUCUCUCUCUGCGCGCCUCUGUGUCUUCUUCUCUUCCUCUUCGGUCUUUGUCUUCCCAAGUCGCCCCUUUCCCCCGUUUGCUUCUUGCAUGCUUUUCCUCGCCUGUGGCUUUCUGAAACCAAGCUUGUCUGGGAGUCCCUCGGACACAAAAACGCGUAGUUCCCUGCAAACCCAGGCAUAUGCAUUUCCUUCAGUUCUAACUACAUGAGACCUCCCACAUAGAACCUCGAGGGGUUGCGUGCGGUUCACUGCGCAUCGCCUGCUUUCCGUUAGUGGCAUAUCUGUACAAAACCCCCGACUCGAAAGCCCGCUGGCACUGCGGUGAGGCGACUCCGUUGCUUCUUCGUGGCUCUUUUUCCCCGGGUGUAUGCCUGGAACUCCUGGACUCUCCCCGUGCAUGCACCUCUUUUCCACGAUUUCACAUUGCAGCUUCGCACCG
rnacentral:lncRNA from 1 species